UGAUUUUUCUCUUGUGGAAAGUCAAGUUGGUUCUUGUACCAUAAAAUGACUAUCUUUACAUUAAGUAAAUAGGGUCUUAUCAAUGAGGAAACAAGCUGCUUCAUAGUUGAUGCAUAAUUACUGAUUUACUUCAUCAACAAGGCAUGUCAGUCUGUUGAUUAUGGAGCAUUGAACCGAGAAUAGCUACAAAAAUGACCCCCUUUCUUCUUUUCUUUUUUUGAACAGCACAUUAAGUUGGUGAAAAUAGUACAUAUUCAGUCUACUAACAGAGACUAACAAAGCAACAAACCAGGGAAAUACAAACAAAGAGCUACACCAAUGCUCACACUAAAAAACCAGCUACAAACACAGCAAACUACAGGUCACUACUACUUCCAUUCAAAACCAACGCAAAUGAUGGGAUCCACUAACACAUUCACCCCAACAAAAGAUAAAGCACAACUAAAACAAAGCUAAACACGUACUUCACUGUUAUCAGUGUAUAUGUCUGAUUGGCAAUUAUAGUUGCAGACAACAAUUUAGAACUAAAAAGUAGUUUUAGGCCUACCACAUGAUUGCACUGAAUCAAAUUCUCUGAGAUAUGUUUGAAAACCAUUCUUUUUAUCUUUAUAUCUCAGGAAAAAAAAAUCUCUCUCAAAAGCAAAUGGAGUCUCAAAAACUUGAUGUAAUUUUUGUUCCAUUUCCAUCUCCUGGCCAUAUGAUUCCUAUGAUAGACACAGCAAGAAUAUUUGCCAAAAACUUGAUGUACUUGCUACCAUUAUCACUACACAAGCAAAUGCCUUGUUAUUCAAGAAAUCCAUAGACAGCGACAUCAUUUCCGGAUAUUCCAUCAAAAUUGGUUACUUAAUUUCCCAUUACAGAUGCUAUGAAUUUUGAGCUGGUUUAUUAGUAUAUCUCUGCUUAUUUUCAAUUGAUUGAUCAUUGAUAUAGACUUGGCUUCCAAUUAAAAUACAUCUCAAAAGGCGAAUGAUAAAUGAAAACGUGAAGUUAGUAGCUAUGAAGCAUGGACACGACAUAGACACGUCAACAUUGAAAAUAAUUUCAAAGAUGGAAAAUCCUCAGAAAUUAUUGGUAAAAUAAUUCAAGGAAUAUUCAUGCUUCAAGAUCAAAUAGAGAUCCUACUUCAAGAACUUAAACCAGAUUGUAUAGUCUCGGAUAUGGCUUAUCCUCGGACAGUUGAAUCAGCUGCAAAACUAAACAUUCCAAGGAUUUAUUUUUACAGUUCAAGCUACUUCUCCAAUUGUGCAAGCUAUUUUGUUAGAAAGUAUAGAUCUCAUGAUGAUUUAGUUUCUGACACAAAGAAGUUUACUACACCUUGUAUGGCUCACAUCAUUGAGAUGACACCUUUGCAGCUAGCUGAUUGGAUUAGGAACAAGAGUUC
rnacentral:lncRNA from 1 species